GUAAUGUGUCAACUAUAUAUGUUGUAUAGAAGCAUUGUUAGCUGUACCUGUCUGCCUGACAUGGUUCAUCUGACCUGGACCUCUUUUUCAAGGUUCAUUGGUCUUUGUUUAGUUAUCUUGGUUAAUGUUAAGUUUAUGUGACAGUUGUAAUAAAGCUUAGCUUUAUACUUAGGACUAUCAACAUAAUAUCAAUGAUUAGUAUAGAAGGCGAGACAUUUCAGCGUGUGCACUCUUGU
rnacentral:lncRNA from 1 species